rnacentral:lncRNA from 1 species
CAGCAGAAUACGGACCACCCCUUCAGGAGGGAUUGAAAGAAACAGAAACCACCAAACUGUCUUCCAAAGUGGCUGUACCAUUUUGCCUUCCCACCAGCAAUGAACGAGAGUUCCUGUGGCUCCACAUCCUCAUCAGCAUUUAGAGUUGUCAGUCUUCCAGAUCUUGGCCAUUCUAAUAGUCUAUUCAUUUAGGGUGGUAUCAUCUGGGAUGGCGUUAGAAUCUUCCUGAAGAUGGAUAAUAAAUAGAGAUCACAUUUGAACCAUACAAAUAUUAUAUUCGUGGCUGUGUCUUCUCCUCCUACCCCAUACUCUCAAGAUGUCUUGUGGCAUAUUUAAGAAACA